rfam:Pan troglodytes isolate Yerkes chimp pedigree #C0471 (Clint) chromosome 19, whole genome shotgun sequence.
CGACCUCAGGCUAGAGGUGGCAACCUGCUGAAUUUAAGCAUAUUAGUCAGUGGAGAAAAUGGAACUAACCAGGAUGCCCUUAGUAAAGGUAAGUGAACAGUGAUCCCAGUGCCAAAUCCCUGCCCCUUGGUGGGGUGCGGGAAAUGUGGCGUAUGGAAGACUCACUCCCCAACGCCACUUGUCGGGGCCCAAGUCCUUCUGAUUGAGGCCCAGCCAGCCUGUGGACGGUGUGAGGCCAUCAGCAGCCCCUGGCUGCCACGCCUGGGUCUUUCCAGAGUCGGGUUGCUUGGGAAUGCAACCUCAAGCUGGUGGCAAACUCUAUCUAAGGUUAAAUACUGGCUCAAGAGACAAUAGUCAACAAGUACUGUAAGGAAAAGUUGAAAAGAACUUUGAAGACACAGUUCAAGAGGGCGUGAAACCGUUAAGACUUAAAUGUGUGGGAUCCAUGCAGUCUGAUGGAAGAUUCAAACAGGCGGUGGGUCGGGCUGUGCCAGUGGUCUGGCGGAUCUUUCCUGCCUCCCGUUCCUCCCGACCCCUCCAACCGCCCUCCCUCCCUGGCCACCCCUCCUCCUCCUUGGAGGUGGCGGGCCCCAGCAGAUGCGGAGGUGGGUGGGUUGGGCAGGCGGGGGAGUCCUUGGGGACUGUCCUCCAGACGGCGACUGGCCACCACCAGAUGCAUUUCCACUGUGGUGCUGCGCCGUGACUGGCUCUGGGACGGCUGGGAAGGCCCGGCAGGGAAGGUGGCUCGGGGGGUCAUGUCCUCCUCGUCCCUCGGGAGGGGGGUGGGCUGGGCCACCCCCCGAGUGUUACAGUCCCUCAGCAGUAGCACUCGCUGAAUCCUGGGACUGAGGUAGUGAGACCUGUUGCCCUGCUCUCCCCUUCCCUGCGCCCACCCCAGUGGGAGCCCCCCAUGAGGGGAUCCCCCGUGGGGGCAUGACAGCGUCCCUCUAGGGGGCUGGGCCACCCCUCCCAUGGUGUAACUACUCUACCACCCCUUCCCUGCCCCCAGCGAGUAGGCCGCAUGUGAGGGGCUGGGGCUGACUGUGGUGUGCCCCAGGCUGGUUGUGCUGUCGGGUCUGGGGGGACUCUUCGGCCAUGCACUCAUUUCAAAAGAACAGUGGAAGAAGUGCACGAGGCCGGUGGCGCUGUUGGCUACCCACAUGACCCAUCUUCAAACAUGGUCCAAAGGGUCUAACACGUGUGCGAGUCAGGGGCUCGCACGAAAGCCAUUGUGGCGCAAUGAAGGUGAAGGCUGAUGCGCUGGCUGGCUGAGGCGGGGUCCUGAGGCCUCUCCAGUUUGCCAAGGGAGCACUACCGUCCACUCUCGCCCACUGUGCUGGGCAGGUGGAGAAUGAGCGCUUGUGUUAGGCACCAAAAGAUGAUAAACUAUGCCUGGGCAGGGCGAAGCGAGAGGAAACUCUGGUGGGGGUCUGUAGUGGUCCUGACGUGCAAAUCGGUCAUCUGAUCUGGGUAUAGGGGCAAAAGACUAAUCCAACCAUCUAGUAGCUGGUUCCCUCUGAAGUUUUCCUAAGGAUAACUGGCGCUCUCGCAAAAACCCCAUGUCACACAGUUAUUUGGUAAAGCGAAUGAUUAGGGGUCUUGGAGUCAAAAUGAUCUCAACCAAUUCUCAAACUUUAAAUGGGUUAGAAGCCCAGCUCGAUGGCGUGGGGCCAGGUAUGGAAUGCGAGUGCCUAGCGAGCAACUUUUGGUAAGCAGAACUGCUGCUGUGGGAUGAACCAAAUGCCAUGUUAGGGUGCCUGAUGCUGAUGCCCAUUAGACCCCAGAAAAUGUGUUGGUUGAUAUAGACAGCAGGACGGUGGCCAUGGAAGUCGGAAUCCACUAAGGAGUGUUUAACAACAAAGAAUCAACUUGCCCUGAAAAAUGGAUGGUACUGAAACAUUGGGCCCAUACCCGGCCAUUGCCAGCAGUUGAGAGUGGAUGGGAGUGGUGAGGGUGGUCGCUCCUGCUGGAGCCCCGAGGAUGCUAUGCUGCUAUGAGUGGGAGAACCGCUGCGAUGAGCCUUGAAGCCUUGGGCAUGAGCCUGGGUGGAGCUGCCCCAGGUGCAGAUCUUGGUGGUAGUAGCAAAUAUUCAAAUGAGAACUUUGAAGACCGAAGUGGAGAAGGGUUCCGUUGAAGAUGGGUCACUUGGUCCCCAGAGAUAGGAGAGUGCCAUUCCGAAGGGAUGGAUGAUGACUUCCAUUGCCCUCAGCCAAUGGAAAGGGAGUCAAGUUCAGAUUUCUGAAUCCGGAGUGGCAGAGAUGGGCACCAUGAGGCAUUCAGGGAGGUAAUGGAAGUGAUCCUGGAGAAGCUGGUGGGAGCCCAGGGGAGAGUUCUUUUUGUGAAGAGCAGGGCAACCUGUAGUGGAUUCACCCUUAGAGAGAGGUCUGUGCCUUGGAAAGGAUCAUAGAUCAGGCGUCACCUGGUGAGCUCUCACAGGCCCUUGAAAAUCUGGGGGAGAGGGUGUAAAUCUCACACCAGGCUGUAACCAUAUCCACAGCAGGUCUCCAAGGUAAACAGCCUCUGGCAUGUUAGAACAAUGCAGGUAAGGGAAAUCAGCAAGCUGGAUCAGUAAGUUCAGGGUAAGAAUUUGCUCUAAGGGCUUUGCCAGUCUGGCUGGGGCUUGAAGUGGGGCUGGGUGCAGGCAGUGGCUGGAUGAGGUGCUGUACUCCACUCCCCAACGCUAGCGGCACCCCUCUGCAGACAUCCCCCACCCCACCUUGCCAUACCUUCCUCUUCCCUAUCCCUGCCCACCUUGCUAUUGCCACUUCCUAGCAGCCUUCUUAGAACUGAUGCAGACCAGGGGAAUCUGACUUUUUAAAACAAAGCAUGGUGAAGGCCUAUGGUGGGUGUUAACACAACGUGAAUUCUACCCAGUGCUCUGAAUGUCAAAAUGAAGAAAUUCAAUGACGCACGAGUAAAUGGCAGGAGUAAAUAUGUCUCUCUUCAGUGUAGCCAAAUGCCUCAUCAUCUAAUUAGUGACUCAUAUGAAUGGAUGGACAAGAUUCCCACUGUUCCUACCUGCUAUCCAGUGAAACCACAGCCAAAGGAAUGGGCUUGACAGAAUCAGCAGGGAACAAAGACUCUGUUGAGACUGACUCUAGUCUGGCAUGGUGAAGAGAUAUGAGAGGUGUAGAAUAAGUGAAAGGCCCCAGCAACCCUCUGUUUCUCUGAGGAGAUGGGGUGAGGUCCACUGGCCUUGUGGGCUGCUGGUGAAAUUCCACUGCCCUGAUCAUUUUUUCACUGACCUGGUGAAGUUGGUGCUGGGGAGGAAAGCCAAAAGGGGCUCACUUUUGGCGCCAAGCACCUAGCCACAUGCUGGCUGGCUGUUAACUGCUCCUGGAAUAGUGCCAAGUGCAGAGUCGGACUGGUACGGUACACCUGUCGAACGGUAAUGCAGGUGUCUGAAGGUGAGUGCAGGGAGUACCAAAACCUCCUGUGGAGCAGAAGGGCAGAAGUUGCUUGAUCUUGAUUUUCAGUAUGAAUACAGACCGGGAAAGCAGGGCCUCAUGAUCCUUUUGAUGUUUUGGUUGGGUUUUAAGCAGGACGUGUCAGAGAAGAUACCAGAUGGUUGACCAGAUGGCCCUCAGCUGCUAUGAUUGAAGUCGACCAGAUGGCUCUUGCUUUGCCAUGUCUGAGGUGGACAAGGGAUAACUGCCUUGUAGUGGCCAAGAGUUCAUAGCGACAUCGCUUUUUGAUCCUUUGUGUUGGAUCUUCCUAUUGUGAAACAGAAUUCACCAAGCGUUGGAUGGUUCACCCAAUAACAGGGAACCUGAGCUUGGUUUAGAACGGCAUGAGACAGGUUAGUUUUAUACAACAGUCUUUUAAACAAGGGUCUUCCCAUCUCAGCCUCACGAGUACCUGGGACUACUGGGAACUUAUUCCUCUGUAUUUUUUCUAACCACAAUUUCAGUUUGUUUCCACAAUACUUAGAAUAACUUGCUGUAAUUUUUCAUUGUUCUUUUCUCUCUCUAUUCUUGUAUGCGCCUUCCUACACACUGAAGUUGACCUUUGGUUUAUUUUUUGUCACAGUUCACACUGGUUGUGACAAACAGACACACACACACACACACACACAGU